GGGGCUUGCAGGGGUGCCUGGGUCGGGGGCUGCAGGUGGGAGUGAGCAAAUGUGCUGUCUCGCCACCUCGGGACAGGUGGUAGGGCCUCUGACACAGAGUGGUCCUUCCUGCUGUUCACAGCUCAGCUCACCGUGGGCUGACCAUAGAUUCUCGUUGAAAUCCUAACGCCCCAGGCAAUGAUGUUAGGAGGCGGGGCUUCUGGGAGAUGGCAAGUUCGUGAGGCUGCAGCUCUGCUGGGGGAUCAGUGUCCUUCUACAAGCGGCUCCAGGGAGGUCCCUUGCCCCUUCCACCAUGUGAGGACCCGAGAUGGUGCCGUCUAUGAACCGGGAAGUGAGUCCUCUCCGGACGUGGAACAAGUUGGUGCCUUGAUUUUGAACUUGCAGCCUCCAGCUUCAUGGGGUUUAAGUACGAUGAUGCUGCAUUGAGACGUUGUACUGUGUGAAGUCAGGGCCUUCUGUGCAUCGGUCGAGGGUGCAAUGCACACGGCACCCCCGAGCAGCCACCCAUCCUCCCUUCCCUCCACCCUGCGAGGCCCCGUUGUCCGUCUGUCCACACUCUGCUCCAUGAGCACACGUGACUUAGCUUCGCCUUGUGAGCCGCUGCUUGGGGUGAGCAUGCUUCCUGCUGGAUGCUUCUCUAUGUAAGCACCUGCCUGAGUGUCAGCCCUCUUAAGGUGAACCGCUCCGUGUCAUUCGUACAUUCACAAGUUUGUGCCGCCAUCAUCGUGAUCGGAUUCCAAAACAUUUUCAUCACCUCCAAGAAAGCCUUGUACCUGGCAGCAGUCACUGUCUCUAUGGAUUUGCUUAUUCUGGACAUUUCAUAAAAAUAGAAUCAAACAGCAUUUGGC
rnacentral:lncRNA from 1 species